rnacentral:lncRNA from 10 species
GCAGUAGAAUUUCACUAACUAGUAGGGGAAAAUGAACCGGUUCUCUGGAUUUAUUCUAGUCAAACACAGAGCCAGGCUGAACAGGGCUUUUGCUGCUCCAUCUUUGAGUUCCUGGGCAACUAUGUGGCUCCCUGAGCUUUUGUUAAGAAAAGCAGAAGCACCAGGGCACCCAGAUCCUGACGGCAUGUGGUAGGUGGAGAUUGCUCUCCUGCCCUGCAAGUUGGGCAAAUAGGAUGAAAAUUUCUGCACGUUUGAAGGGCUGAGAUUACAGGAGAAAGAACAAAGAACAGAGACAGAUGGGGAGUGGAGCAAGAUGGUGGAAUAUGACUCUGUAGUGAUCAUCCACCCACAGAGAGGAAAUUUGGACUUAGUUACAAAAGGAAAACCACACGAAGUCCCAGGGAGAAGACAGCUAUCUACAAGCUGAAGAGAGUGUCUCAGAAGAAAUCAACUCUGCCAACACUUUCAAGACCAGCCCGGGCAACAGAGUGAGACUUUCC